AUACGUAGGGUGCGAGCGUUGUCCGGAAUUACUGGGCGUAAAGAGCUCGUAGGUGGUUUGUCGCGUCGUCUGUGAAAUUCCGGGGCUUAACUCCGGGCGUGCAGGCGAUACGGGCAUAACUUGAGUACUGUAGGGGAGACUGGAAUUCCUGGUGUAGCGGUGAAAUGCGCAGAUAUCAGGAGGAACACCGGUGGCGAAGGCGGGUCUCUGGGCAGUAACUGACGCUGAGGAGCGAAAGCAUGGGUAGCGAACAGGAUUAGAUACCCUGGUAGUCCUGGCCGUAAACGGUGGGCGCUAGGUGUAGGGGUCUUCCACGACUUCUGUGCCGUAGCUAACGCAUUAAGCGCCCCGCCUGGGGAGUACGGCCGCAAGGCUAAAACUCAAAGGAAUUGACGGGG
rnacentral:rRNA from 1 species